rnacentral:rRNA from 1 species
AAGUCGAACGAACCUUCGGGUUAGUGGCGGACGGGUGAGUAACGCGUGAGAAUCUGCCCUCAGGAGGGGGAUAACGGUUGGAAACGACCGCUAAUACCCCAUAUGCCUAUUGGUGAAAUGAAUUUCGCCUGAGGAUGAGCUCGCGUCUGAUUAGCUAGUUGGUGAGGUAAUGGCUCACCAAGGCUUCGAUCAGUAGCUGGUCUGAGAGGAUGAUCAGCCACACUGGGACUGAGACACGGCCCAGACUCCUACGGGAGGCAGCAGUGGGGAAUUUUCCGCAAUGGGCGAAAGCCUGACGGAGCAACGCCGCGUGAGGGACGAAGGCCUCUGGGCUGUAAACCUCUUUUCUCAAGGAAGAAGAUAUGACGGUACUUGAGGAAUAAGCCACGGCUAAUUCCGUGCCAGCAGCCGCGGUAAUACGGGAGUGGCAAGCGUUAUCCGGAAUUAUUGGGCGUAAAGCGUCCGCAGGCGGCUUUUCAAGUCUGCUGUUAAAAAGUGGAGCUUAACUCCAUCAUGGCAGUGGAAACUGAAAGGCUUGAGUAUGGUAGGGGCAGAGGGAAUUCCCGGUGUAGCGGUGAAAUGCGUAGAUAUCGGGAAGAACACCAGUGGCGAAGGCGCUCUGCUGGGCCAUUACUGACGCUCAUGGACGAAAGCCAGGGGAGCGAAAGGGAUUAGAUACCCCUGUAGUCCUGGCCGUAAACGAUGAACACUAGGUGUCGGGGGAAUCGACCCCUUCGGUGUCGUAGCUAACGCGUUAAGUGUUCCGCCUGGGGAGUACGCACGCAAGUGUGAAACUCAAAGGAAUUGACGGGGGCCCGCACAAGCGGUGGAGUAUGUGGUUUAAUUCGAUGCAACGCGAGAAUCCUUACCAGGGUUUGACAUCCUGCGAACCUCUUAGAAUUUGAGGUGCCUUCGGGAAUGCAGUGACAGGGUUGCAUGCUGUCGUCAGCUCGUGUCGUGAGAUGUUGGGUUAAGUCCCGCAAACGAGCGCAACCCACGUUUUUAGUUGCCAGCAUUAAGUGGACCACUCUAGAAAGACGGCGUGAAUAACCGGAUGAGGGGGAUGACGUCAGUCUUCAUGCCCUUACCUGGCCUACACGAUACUACAUGCUACGCAAGGCAGGCAUUUCGGAGUCUACAAUCCAAUAUCGGGUCAUUCGAAUCGUAGC